GAAAUGCGAUAAGUAGUGUGAAUUGCAGAAUUCAGUGAAUCAUCGAAUCUUUGAACGCACAUUGCGCCCCUUGGUAUUCCAUGGGGCAUGCCUGUUCGAGCGUCAUCUACACCCUCAAGCUCUGCUUGGUGUUGGGCGUCUUUGUCCCGCCUCCGCGCGCGGACUCGCCCCAAAUUCAUUGGCAGUGGUCCUUGCCUCCUCUCGCGCAGCACAUUGCGCUUCUCGAGGUGUUGCGGCCCGCGUCCAGAAAGCAAUCGUUACCGUCUUUGACCUCGGAUCAGGUAGGGAUACCCGCUGAACUUAAGC
rnacentral:misc_RNA from 1 species